rnacentral:lncRNA from 1 species
GUAGGGUCAGCGUGCUGAGUCCAAGGACCAACGUGCUGAUAUGUGUACUGAUGGACAGCCAGGAACGUCCAGUGUAAGACCCGUUCCUGGUCUCUCGACCCAACUGGAUAUGAAUGCUUACUUAUUAAUUUCUUUGCUUGUCUGAUUCAUUCUAAGUCUUUUACUCACUAAGUCAUAUUCGAAUAUGAGGUUCGUAAACAAAGGAACAGAUUGCACAGCGGAAUAAUAAUGUGUUAACUUUGU